CUGACUUGAUGAUCCUACGACUGAAAAUAUUUUAGACUGGGGCUAUCAAGAUUUUAAGUUUCAUUGAUAUGAUCUCAUCAUGAUCCUAAAAUCAUUAUCCUAAUCUAUGGAUUUCAUCAUAAUCAUAAUUUAAAAUAUGAUACAGUAAAUGAUGAAACAUAAUACCUCAUAAAUAUAAAAUAACCAAUAUCAUAUACAUUAG
rnacentral:lncRNA from 1 species